rnacentral:tRNA from 2 species
GGUGGGAUCGCUUAGUGGCCUAGAGCGGAUGUUUCGAAAACAUCUGUUGCCGAAAGGUGACCGCAGGUUCGAAUCCUGCUCCCACCG